CCUACGGGCGGCAGCAGUGGGGAAUAUUGGACAAUGGGGGCAACCCUGAUCCAGCCAUGCCGCGUGUGUGAAGAAGGCCCUCGGGUUGUAAAGCACUUUCAGUGAGGAAGAACGCCUGGUGGUUAUUACCCAUCAGGAAAGACAUCACUCACAGAAGAAGCACCGGCUAACUCCGUGCCAGCAGCCGCGGUAAUACGGAGGGUGCGAGCGUUAAUCGGAAUUACUGGGCGUAAAGCGCGCGUAGGUGGCUUGAUAAGCCGGUUGUGAAAGCCCCGGGCUCAACCUGGGAACGGCAUCCGGAACUGUCAAGCUAGAGUGCAGGAGAGGAAGGUAGAAUUCCCGGUGUAGCGGUGAAAUGCGUAGAGAUCGGGAGGAAUACCAGUGGCGAAGGCGGCCUUCUGGACUGACACUGACACUGAGGUGCGAAAGCGUGGGUAGCAAACAGGAUUAGAUACCCUAGUAGUC
rnacentral:rRNA from 1 species